CCUACGGGAGGCAGCAGUGAGGAAUAUUGGUCAAUGGGCGGAAGCCUGAACCAGCCAAGUCGCGUGAGGGAAGACUGCCCUAUGGGUUGUAAACCUCUUUUGUCAGGGAGCAACGCCGGCUACGUGUAGCCGGACUGAGAGCACCUGACGAAAAAGCAGCGGCUAACUCCGGGACAGCAGCCGCGGUAAUACGGAGGAUGCGAGCGGAAUCCGGAUUUAUUGGGUUUAAAGGGUGGGUAGGCGGAAUGCCAAGUCAGCGGUAAAAUCGCGGGGCUAAAUCUCGCUCCGCCGUUGAAACUGGCGUUCUUGAGUGGGCGAGAGGUAUGCGGAAUGCGUGGUGUAGCGGUGAAAUGCAUAGAUAUCACGCAGAACUCCGAUUGCGAAGGCAGCAUACCGGCGCCCAACUGACGCUGAAGCACGAAAGCGUGGGUAUCGAACAGGAUUAGAUACCCUAGUAGUC
rnacentral:rRNA from 1 species